AUUAGAAGGGAGGCUUGUCUCCAAGAUAUGGAAGGAAGUGAGAAAUGACAGGACCGCAAGCUUUGUAUGUAGGAGCCUGGCAGGGCGGGGGAGCGGCGGGGAAAGCCAAGUGGAUUCUCAGAAAAGGAGGGAAGCCGUAGAUAGAGCUAACGGUGAUUAGAGGGGGGAUAUUGAUUCCUUAUUCUGCCAGAGAUUUAAGCAGGCAUGCAAGGAAUCUGCACCAUGGUUGGCAAAAGGAGCCUCUGUAACCAGACACUCGGGCUUUCCAGGAGCCCAGGGAGAGAGCUGAGAAGAAAGGGGGCAGUGUGGUCUAGGAAAAUUCAACUUGUCGCUGAUUUGUGCCUGAUGCUUGCUGUCCGUCAGCAGCCUCCCUUACAAUCUUUUUUUCUCUCUCUCUCUCCCUUUUUUUCUUGCCUUCUCCUUCUUCACUGAAGCCUAGGGGAGCCAGCAAAGAUUAAAUGUGCUUUCUCAAAGGCGGCCACUUCACGCUGCUAUGUCGAAAAGGCCAUUAUUAUUAUUAUUUUUAAUAGUAAAAGAAAAAGGGAGAGAGAGGUUGAGACAGGGAGAGAGAAGCAAGGUAGGUUGAUGACGGACUAGCCUUUCUGAGAGGAAAAGGAAAGUGAGAGAGAAAGGAGAGACCCUGAACUGAACGGAGGAUUGUGCCUGAGAAGAACCUACAGAGCAUGAGCUACAGAGUUACAGUCUCGAGAUUUGGUGUAUCGCUUCCUGCCCCCGCCUCCCUCCCCGCCCCGAUGUCGGUCCUCUGUUGAAACACCUCGCCCAGGCUAGCGCACUGCGAGCUCCCAUUUCCCCCCCUUGCUCGGAAUGGUGUUGCACGAGGGCUGCAGCCCUGCUCCGCUUCCGAUGGUUGUGUCGAUGUUCCUUUCAGCUGGUCCUAUAGCCCCCCUCCUCAGGAAGGUCUCCCCAGGGAAAGGACAAAAACUUCAGAGACACAGCUGCACUGAUGGACGCUCAAGCCAACAAUGGAGUUGAAACAAAGAAAGAGAUCACCUGAAGACACCUUCCCUGCUAAGCAGCACACCCCAAAUGGCGCAGUUGCAGGCAAUAGAACUCUCAGAACAGGAGACCAUGUUUUCAAGAACCAGACAAAAUUUAACAGUGACAUCUAGAUUUCUAAAGAGCCAAGGACUUUCCCUUCCUCGUGUGUAUUCCUCUGUUUGUAUUUAAAUUCAGUGUGACAUUCAUUUCUAAAAUAUUUUCCCGCGAUGAGUAUGCUCGUGAAGGCAUUGAUGUUUUUACAACAGAAAAUUGCACACAGGUGUUCAUGGGGUAAGGAACAAAAUUAGUGCUAUAAGAACAUCGAUUUUUAGCCACACACCGUUUGAUCUUAAGAGUGACCCGAAGGAACAUAAAGUACUUUUGAAAUACCAAAGUAGUCAGAGGCAAUCCGAAGGAUAACAUAGUGGACAUUAUCCCACCUGACACAGACCAGUCAACCAUUCUUUUAAUCCAGCAAAAUAGGUUCGCUGAGACAUGAUCCCUGCCUCUAAAGAGUUUAAAUUUAAUGAGACCGAGAAACACAAACUUUUGAAAAGAUAGUAACCAAUCAGGUGCAUUGAUGUUAAGACCACAGUAAAACUCAAGAGAUAAUAAGCAAAGAGUUCAGAGGAGGUCACCAUAAUCUGGGCAAACCUGGCCUGUUUAGGGAAGAAAGUUUCCAAAGGAGGAAAACACAAGAUGAAUCUUAAAGGAUAGUAAGAUUUAGGGGCACCUGGUUGGCUCCGUUGGUAGAGCAUGCGACUCUUAAUCUCAGGGUUGUGAGUUCAAGCCCCACAUUGGGCGUGGAGCCUACUUACUAAAAAAGGGGGGGAGGUAUUAAAUAUUUAGAUGAAUGGAAAGGAAAGAGAGAAUAGAUUGCUUUAAAUGAAUGCAAUGUGAGCAAAGCCAUGGAGGAAGGAAUCUAUGUGGUGAAUAUUGGGAAUUAUGAGUAUACGUGUCUAGUUGACAUUGAAUGCCAGCAUACAUAGACAUAUACGGUAAGGACUUCGCACACACACGUCCCCUCUCCCACCUUGGGUGUCACCUAGAAAUACCAUCUUAUUUUCCACAAAAGCAAGUGGGAGUGAUUGGUGGUAAUAUGAGAACUUACGAUUUUUCUUUUCACUUAAUAACAAUUAGUAUUUACCGAGGUCUUGAUGUAUGUUAAGCAUUUGACGUAUGAACUCGCUUAAGCCUACAGCUCAGAACAGCCCUGCAAGAUAGGUACGAUUAUCCCUGUUUGGAAGCUAACAGUUAAUGAGAUUAAGUAACUUGCCAAACUGCCACGCACAGGGUCUGCACUCAGAAUUGUGACCAUAAAUCUCAUGAUCUGAAGCAUGAAGUCCCAAUAUUGUGAUCAGUGUUGCAGUGUUACCACUUCCGUAUUCCCCGAUAGUUCUUUAUGGUGAACAAAUAGCUAUGACAUUCAGUUAUCCCCUCAAAUUUUUCAGUUUUCUGCUUAAAUGACAUUAGAACGAUCGAAAGACUUUUCAUGGGAGAAAACUGACAGAAUUGGGGAAGAGAGCUUCUCAGCAUUUUAGGGUGUUGUUUGUUUUUUUGCCAGACGUUGAGGAAACGGUUCGCCUUGUUCUGCACAAAAUCUAAAAUUCCUGAGGAUUAAUAAAGGAGGGGGGAAACUCAAAGGUCAUCUGUUGCCACGUGCUUUUCUACAGACCCCCUCAAAGUGUGAGUGGCUUACGGGAAGCUCACACAUUUGAGUGUGGCAGAGCUAGGUCCAGAAACCAGGCUGUCCAGUCUCCUCUCCGAGGCUCUUGAACUACCCCACCCUGCCUACAUGGAGUAUGAACUUGAAUUUGAUCAAGGAAAGUGUUCUGUCUGGGUGAUCGGGGGGACUGCGCCUAGCAGGUUGUUUCCAUUUUGCACCUGUUUUGCUUCCCACCUCAACGUGAAAACUAGCCAGUUAUGAACUGACAUCUUCUGAUGUAGACAUUGUCAAUGGUCCACCCCCAAAGAACACGUAAUGGCUCAAAUUAUGUGCACCAUGUCUCCAAUGCUAUUCUUAAGUUAUUUGGAAUUCUUAGUUCACCUAAACCAAUCGGGUCUUCUAAUGAGCAUUUCCUUACCCGAUUUUAUGCGCAGUAUGUAUUUGUCAGUGCUUCUGCAUGAAUAUUUAUGCACGACUGUUUCAAUAGUCCUUAUGUUUUUGAAAAUAUCAAUGGUUAUUUGCUAUUUUAAUCCUCACUUAUCCAUGUAACUGACUGAAGAAUACUUCAGCCAUAAAAAGCUAGAAGUGAGGAAAUCUCACUCUUUUUCACCGGAUCCUUCGCAUUUAAUUGGCAUUUAGUAAUGAUUAAUAAAGUGGUCAGCUGGGUGACACAGUUCCCAAAUGCAAUUCUGUCUCGAAGGAGUCAGUUAAGCUGCCUCUACUUAAGGACACACAUCUAGACAUUUGGAAGCACCUGAAUAUUUGUUGUAAAUUUCCACUUCAAAAUCUGGCAUUGUCAGACCUACACCUCCUUGUGGCUCAGGCCGUCCUGUUUUCAAAAUGAUGAUUAUUGGCCCUAUCUCACACAGUUCUCAUUAAGUGAGUGGCCAAGCACAAAAUGUGACUUUGUUGACAUUUUCUGAGACUUUGUCGUAUGUCCCUUGAAUCCCCAAAUAAAAGCAACGUUGCAUCAACUGUGAA